rnacentral:misc_RNA from 1 species
UCUACAUCUGUCAUUCUUUUAUUUUGAAUAUUUGGCAAAUUUAAAAGGAAACGAAACCAAAAAUUAUUAAAUUUUUGGUUAAAAUUACGUUUAUUUUAAAUUAAGUGUCAAAGAAUGAACGAAGAUGACUGUUUUAUGAGUGAUACCUUGAAUGAAUUCACUUUUAAUACUCAAAAAAAACUUUUCUAUAAGAAAAAAGAAAGCCUAGAUAGUCAGGAACUAUCCUUUGAUGAUUCAGCCUUCCUAGACAAUCUAACAUUUGAUUUUGAAUUAGCUGGAAAAGUUAUUACAGGGAACAACAGUCAGGCAGUAAAUAACAGUAAGAAAGAUAAUAUAAAGCAAUGUGUUACUCAAAAACCCUCUCCUACAACCGAACAUUCAGAUACCAAACUAAAUGUCCAUGUUAGUGACAAAAAUGAAUCUCCAAAAGCAACACCACCUGGACCAUCAACUCAAAUCAAUGCCAUUGAUAAUAAAUCAUUUAAAAAUAGCAAACAGGUGACAUCCCAAUCACAAGACUCUAACACAAGUACUGUAUCCCAAUUAUCUUUAAACCAGAUAAGCUGUAAUGUCUCCAGUAACAGCAACUCCCAACCACACACUUUAUCCCAUGAAAUUCUUAGUAUGCCACCUAGUAAUACCUAUGAACUUUCAGCUUGGGGUCUACCAGAACUAGUCUUUAAAAAAUACUCAUCAAGGAAAAUUAAAAAUAUGUUUCCCUGGCAGUAUGAAUGCCUUAGCAAUCCUAAAGUUCUUCAUGAAUUAUCUAAUUUAAUUUAUUCAGCACCUACUUCCGCAGGGAAGACUUUGGUCGCUGAAAUACUUGCAAUCAAAACAAUAUUUGAGAGGAAAAAGAAGGUGAUUUUAAUAUUGCCAUUUGUGUCAAUUGUAAGGGAGAAAAUGUACUACUUUCAAGAUAUUUUGGGUACCAGUGGUAUAAGAGUGGAGGCAAUUAUGGGAUCUUAUAAUCCACCCGGUGGUUUUAAGUCUAUACAUUUUGCGAUUUGUACUAUUGAGAAGGCUAAUGGUCUCAUAAAUAAACUAAUGGAAGAAAAUAAGUUGUCUGAUAUAGGUUGUAUUUUGGUGGAUGAAAUGCAUUUAUUAGGUGAUUCAAAUAGGGGUUAUAUUCUUGAACUUCUAUUAACCAAACUCAGAUAUAUUUCAUUAAAGGACGAAAAUGUAAAACUUCAAAUAGUAGGUAUGUCAGCCACACUUCCAAACCUCGAUCAGCUUGCAAAAUGGCUUGGUGCAGAACUAUUUUCUACCACUUUCCGUCCAAUACCUCUAUAUGAACAAGUUAUAAUAGGUGGCAACAUUUAUGAUAGAAACAUGCAAUUAGUAAAAAAACUUGAUCCCUUGCCAGAUAUUUGUGUAGACACCGAUAAUGUUCUUCAAUUAUGUUUAGAUACAAUUAAAGAUUCAUGUUCAGUGUUAAUUUUCUGCCCAUCAAAAAACUGGUGUGAAAACCUAGCCCAGCAACUUGCAGUGGCAUUUUAUAAAAUAGGCAAUUCAGAUACUCCAUUGGGAGAACUUUUACGUACUCAAAUAAAAAGUGAUUUAGUUGUGGAAGUUUUGGAGCAACUCAAAUUUUGCCCUGUAGGCUUAGACUCAAUUUUAAAAAGAACUGCUUCCCUUGGCAUUGCCUUUCAUCAUGCAGGUCUAACAGUUGAUGAAAGAGACAUUAUUGAAGCUGGAUUUAGAAAUGGGGCCAUUAAAAUCAUAGUUGCCACCUCAACUCUUUCCUCUGGUGUUAAUCUACCUGCCAGAAGAGUGAUUAUCAGAAGUCCAGUGUUCUGUGGAAAACCUAUUGAUCUUUUAACAUAUAAACAAAUGGCUGGCAGGGCCGGUAGGAUGGGCAAAGACACCAUGGGGGAAAGUAUUUUAAUAUGCCAGCAAAGUGAACAAAAAAUUGCCAAAUUACUUUUGAGUGGACAAUUGCCAGCUGUACAAAGCUGUCUUGAAACAGGUGACAAACUUGAGAGGGCCAUUUUGGAAGUUAUUGCUAGUGGAGUAGCUUCAAAGCCAGAAGAUGUCACUUUGUUUACCAAUUGCACCCUAUUGUCUGUUAUUAAUGAAGGCAAUGGGGGCUUGGAAGAUCCUAUAGGAGAAGCCAUUGAAUAUCUCAAAAAGAAUGAAUUUAUCAGACUUCAGUCUUUGGAAAACCAGGUUUCUCAGUAUGUUGCAACUUCAUUGGGAAAGGCUUGUUUAUCUUCUUCCAUAGCACCUGAUGAAGGACUAGCUCUCUUUGCAGAAUUGGAAAAAGCGAGGCAAUGUUUUGUUCUGGAAUCAGAACUUCAUUUAAUUUAUCUUGUUACUCCAUAUUCUGCUUGCCAUUCUUGGGGUAAUAUUGAUUGGAUGUUCUAUUUGAAUCUAUGGGAAAAACUACCAACUGCCAUGAAAAGAGUUGGUGAACUAGUAGGCGUUAGAGAGGCAUACAUUGUUAAUGCCAGUAGAAGAAAAAUAGAUACAAACAGUAGUUCUGGCUAUAAGAAACUCAUGGUGCAUAAGAGAUUUUUUGUCGCUUUGGCUUUGCAAGACUUAGUAAAUGAAAUACCACUUGGAGAUGUGUGUGCAAAAUUUAACUGUAACCGGGGCAUGCUCCAAUCUUUACAACAAUCCGCCUCAACAUUUGCUGGAAUGGUAACGUCCUUUAGUCGCCAGUUAGGUUGGGCAAGUGUGGAAAUCCUGUUGGCUCAGUUUCAGGAUAGAAUGCAGUUUGGCGUUAGCCGUGACUUACUAGAUUUGAUGCGACUACCAUCGCUAAACGGCAAACUUGCUAGAACAUUAUAUAACGCUGGGAUAGAAACUGUAGUUCAGUUAGCCAAUCAUGAUGUAGCUACCGUCGAGACCGUUCUUUGUAGGGCAGGACCUUUUGAGAGAAGUAAGGAGAGAGAAGGCGAAUCAGAAUUUGAUUAUAAACAAAGAAAUAAACUAAGAACUGUGUGGAUCACUGGCAAAGAUGGACUGACAGAAAGGCAGGCGGCGGAAUUGUUGGUGCAAGAUGCCAGGAACUAUUUAAAAACUGAAAUGGGACUGCAGGAGGCAAAGUGGGAGUCAUCUGCUUGUUCGCAGGGCGAUAAAAGUGAUGAUAUUACGAAAAGGGAAUCGGUUGUAGAGGUCGAAGAAGAAAAUCAUAAUGAAAAAGAUAAAGAAGUAAUAGAUGAAUUUAAAGAACAAGAAGAAACACCUGAUUUACUAGAGAACUCUAGUGGGAAUUCAAGUAUUAAAAGCAAUUUGUCUAGUUUUGGAGAUGAAGAAGAGAGCCAAAGUUUUCUAAGUCCUAAUAAAGCAUCCACUCUAGAUAAAAAUGAAGAUCUUAGUUUAGCAGAUGAAGUUAUGCAUGCUGAUACACAAUUGGAGCAAAAAACUUAUCAAAGUCCUGAAUAUAGCAGUGAUUACCAAACAGACACUUUUGAGACUGUUAUUAAUAAGAAGCUUGUAGACACUGAAAAGCCUAAAAGUCCUAAAUCGCCCAAAUCAGUUGCAAGUGAGAGAUCAUAUGAUUUUAAUUUAUCUAAUAAUUCAAGCUGCUCAAUGUUCUCGGAUAUAAGUUUCACCAGAAUAGAAGAGAACCUUGAUAUUGGGUGUAAAGAAAAAGUGGAAAUUGUAGAUUUGAAACAGUGUGAUCAAAUGCAAGAUGAAUGUAACAAUAGCCCAGUUAAAAACACAUCGCGAAAAUCAUCAACAGGAUUUAUUAGUGGAGAAUCUUUGAUCCUUGAGCAGAUUAGCAUUGAAGAUUUUGGUAUGUCAGAAAAAAGUGAUUGUAAUAUUGAUGAGUUUGAAACACAAGGCAAUUUUGACAAAGCCUUGCAGGACUUUAAUUUUACUCAUGAAAUAGAGAAAAAUAGUAAUGACUAUUUGGGUAAAAACCAAUUACAGCUAGUUCCAUCAACAAGUAAUGCUAAUUUAGACGACAUACUGGUAUCAUCAAGAAAACGAAAUCGUUCAGCCAAUAAUUUAGAACUAUCUUCUGAAGAUUCAUUGGUAGAAUCAACUCCUCCAAAGAAAAUCAAAAUGCUAAAUAAUGUAACUAAAACUCCAUUCAGCAGCACUAUAAAGAGGAUCUCUCAGAUAAGUCUUACAAGUAAUAGUGAAAAUAAAUCAAUUUCUCCACUGUUCACUAAUGUUGAAACUGGCACUAAAAAUACCAUUUCAAAACAUGUACUUACCAAAGAAACACCAAUGAGAAAAGUAUCUGUUGGGAUUCCAAGCAAAACCCUUCAGCUAAAACAAGAAGAUAAUAGUAUUAGUGAAAUCGAAGUUCUUAUGGAGAUAGCAAUUGUUGAUGUAUGCACUGCAGAAGACUCUUUAGUAGCGUCAUUUUUGGGACUGCUUCAAGAGAAAUCAGAAUUUUCCUUAUGCUGCUAUUGGAAUAAAAUAAAAGAAAUUAAGCCUGUAAUUGGUGCGAAUAUUUUGGAGUUAAGGCAAAAUAAUAAUAUUAGUAGUGCAUUACAUAGUAUGAGAUUUAAAGAUAAGAGGGUAGAAGCUUUGGCGUUUUAUUGGGGUGGCAAGGAGACCUACUAUCUCUCCACAAAAAAUCUUAUUAAGACAAAACAAUGGCUUACACAACUGAGAACUGUUUUUGGAGAUGAAAAGAGAUAUGUUAGAAUGUUUAAUGCUAAGGAACAAAUUAAGAUUUUAAAGCAAUGCUGUGAUAUAGACUUUAGAUGUAAGAUUGAGGAUCCAGCAGUUGCCGAUUGGCUCUUAGAUGCUGAAGAGAGGGAAAGAAAUUUGGAAGAAAUGGCAAAGAGUUAUUCUCAUGAAUCUAAUAAAGCUGUUGUCACGUUAUUUGAAAAACUCAAACGUUUAAAACAAGAUGCUGAUCUAGUAGAUGAGAGUGUUAUUUCUAAAGUAAAGUCAGUAGUUGAGGCAGUUUAUGCAUGGAGGCUCAUAGAGACACUAACUAAAAAAUUGACUGAAACAAUGCCUAAAAUUAAAAGCGUUAUGAAUCCACAUUUUCCUAGCAAUUAUGAUUUAGAAAUGCAGACCCAAGUAUGCCUGGCCAAUUUAGAAUUAACCGGAAUGGGUAUAAAUUGCGUGAUCUUACAAGACUUGGCAGAUAUGAUGAAAAUUCAACAAGGAGCAAUUGAGAAAAAGGCAUACUCUUUAGCAGGGAGAAGAUUUAACUUCAAUUCAUCAAAAGACGUUUCUAAAGAUUGUAUAAAGGGAAGAAGGGCAGUACGAAACGGAUGUUUUUGGAGCAAAGUGACCAUCCAAUAUCUGAAUUGGUCAUCAACUGGCGUAAAAUAAACCAUAGUCUUACCAAAAUGGUUUAUCCCUUCUUAAGGGCCUGUGACAGUGACCGAAUUUAUGGGAAUUAUUAUACCCAUACUGCCACUGGUAGGAUUACUAUGCAUGAACCUAACAUUCAAAUGGUCACUAAAGAUUUCAAAGUUACUGACUUUACAUUAAAAAAGGAGAUUGUUAUUAGUUGUCGUAAAGCUUUCACAGCAUCACAAGGAUUUAUCUUGGUGUCAGCUGACUAUUGUCAACUAGAGCUUAGAAUUCUUACUUACUUAUCCCAGGAUAGUUU